CCCCAGCAAUGGCAUGUUCCAAGAGGAGAGAAGAUUGAGCCUGUCCCACUUAACCAUGUUGUGGUGGCCAAAGCUUGUGAGACGAGGAAGAGAAAACCAGUUUUAUGCCAAGUUGACACUCAGUACAAGCUUCCAGAGGUUACCAGCAAUGAUAUAGAGCAGUUAAAAGGGGCCAAAGCACACCUCUUGAAUACCUUCUCUCAUCAAAGAGGCCAUUAGUUACAACAGAUCUUGGUCAAGUUCAGCUUGGUUCAUUUCUGUCAUAUCAGACAAGAAAUUUGAAGUCAAUGAUUCCUGUAACAACAAAUGGCUGUGGUAACCUCUGUGUCACAAACUCAUCACAAAUUAGACUGCCUGAAAAGUUUCAGCACUUAAUAAGUCAUUAUACAGUAACAGACCCACAGACAUUAGAGCAAUGUACAAGAAACCAGGCAAUGUCUGAAACAUGGCAUCAAGCUAGACAAAAUAGGCUAACAGCAUCAAACUUUGGUGAUAUCAUGUUAAGGAAAUCUCCCCCUAAUGAAAAAUUACUGUCACGUUUAUUUUCUACCAGUAAAGAUA